UACGUAGGUUGCAAGCGUUGUCCGGAAUUAUUGGGCGUAAAGCGCGCGCAGGUGGUUCCUUAAGUCUGAUGUGAAAGCCCCCGGCUCAACCGGGGAGGGUCAUUGGAAACUGGGGAACUUGAGUGCAGGAGAGGAAAGUGGAAUUCCACGUGUAGCGGUGAAAUGCGUAGAUAUGUGGAGGAACACCAGUGGCGAAGGCGACUUUCUGGCCUGUAACUGACACUGAGGCGCGAAAGCGUGGGGAGCAAACAGG
rnacentral:rRNA from 1 species